UACGUAGGGUGCGAGCGUUAAUCGGAAUUACUGGGCGUAAAGCGUGCGUAGGCGGUUCGUUAAGUGCGUCGUGAAAGCCCCGGGCUCAACCUGGGAAUGGCGAUGGAAACUGGCGGGCUGGAGUAUGGCAGAGGGGGGUGGAAUUCCGCGUGUAGCAGUGAAAUGCGUAGAGAUGCGGAGGAACACCGAUGGCGAAGGCAGCCCCCUGGGCCAAUACUGACGCUCAUGCACGAAAGCGUGGGGAGCAAACAGG
rnacentral:rRNA from 1 species